AUUGAACGCUGGCGGCAGGCCUAACACAUGCAAGUCGAGCGAGCGGCGGACGGGUGAGUAAUGUCUGGGAAACUGCCUGAUGGAGGGGGAUAACUACUGGAAACGGUAGCUAAUACCGCAUACCAUCAGAUGUGCCCAGAUGGGAUUAGCUAGUAGGUGGGGUAAUGGCUCACCUAGGCGACGAUCCCUAGCUGUUCUGAGAGGAUGACCAGCCAAACUGGAACGGGGAACCGGUCCAGACGCCUACGGGACGCAGGAGUGGGGAAUAUUGGCCAAUGGGCGCAAGCCUGAUGCAGCCAUGCCGCGUGUGUGAAGAAGGCCUUCGGGGUGUAAAGCACUUUCAGCGGGGAGGCGUUACCCGCAGAAGAAGCACCGGCUAACUCCGUGCCAGCAGCCGCGGUAAUAC
rnacentral:rRNA from 1 species